rnacentral:rRNA from 1 species
UACGUAGGGUGCAAGCGUUGUCCGGAAUUAUUGGGCGUAAAGAGCUUGUAGGCGGUUUGUCGCGUCUGCUGUGAAAUUUCGGGGCUCAACCCCGAACUUGCAGUGGGUACGGGCAGACUAGAGUGCGGAAGGGGCAACUGGAAUUCUCGGUGUAGCGGUGAAAUGCGUAGAUAUCGAGAGGAACACCUGCGGCGAAGGCGGGUUGCUGGGCCGACACUGACGCUGAUGCGCGAAAGCCAGGGGAGCGAACGGG